AAGCCAUCUGCAAGCUGGUAGGAGGGUCCCCACCAGAACCUUACCCUGCUGGCACCCUGAUCUCAGAUGUCCAGCCUCCAGAACGGUGAGAAAUAAAUGUCUGUUGUUUAAACGAAGUCUAUGUCCAUUUUAUAAAAGAUCAUCUUUCUUGGAUAAAACUUGUUAUUCAAAUAGUUUUUUUUUUUUAAUUUUUUUGAGAUGAGUCUCACUCUUGUCAUCCAGGCUGGAGUGCAGUGGCACCCAGGCUGGAGUGCAGUGGCGCAGUCUCGGUUCACUGCAACCUCCGCCUCACGGGUUCAAGCGAUUCUCCUGCCUUAGCCUCCCGUGUAGGUGGGAUCAUAGGCGCGUGCCACCAUGACCGGAUAAUUUUGUAUUUUUAGUAGAGAUGGGGUUUCACAUGUUGGCCAGGCUGGUCUCGAUCUCCUGACCUCAUGAUCCACCCACUUCGGCCUCCCAAAAGGCUGGGAUUACAGGCAUGAGCCACUGCACCUGGCCAAAUAGGUUGAUUUUUAAGAGUAUAUUUGGACAAGUAAUU
rnacentral:lncRNA from 1 species